GACGAACGCUGGCGGCGUGCCUAAUACAUGCAAGUAGAACGCUGAUGUUUGGUGUUUACACUAGACUGAUGAGUUGCGAACGGGUGAGUAACGCGUAGGUAACCUGCCUCAUAGCGGGGGAUAACUAUUGGAAACGAUAGCUAAUACCGCAUAAGAGUGAUUAACACAUGUUAGUUAUUUAAAAGGAGCAAUUGCUUCACUGUGAGAUGGACCUGCGUUGUAUUAGCUAGUUGGUGAGGUAAAGGCUCACCAAGGCGACGAUACAUAGCCGACCUGAGAGGGUGAUCGGCCACACUGGGACUGAUACACGGCCCAUACUCCUACGGGAGGCAGCAGUAGGGAAUCUUCGGCAAUGGACGGAAGUCUGACCGAGCAACGCCGCGUGAUUGAAGAAGGUUUUCGGAUCUUACAGCUCUGGUGUUAUAGAAGAACGUUGGUAGGAGUGGAAAAUCUACCAAGUGACGGUAACUAACCAGAAAGGGACUGCUAACUACGUGCCAGCUGCCGCGGUAUGACGGAGGUGCCGAGCGUUAUCCGGAUUUAUUUGGGCGUAAAGCGCGUCUAGUUGGGUAUGUAAGUUGUGAUGUGGAAAAUGCAGGCUCUGCUCUGUGUUGGCGGUGUGAAAUUGGUGUAAAGUUGAGUGCUGGUAGUGGGAAGUGUGAUGUAUGAGGUGUUUAGUGUAAUGUCCUUAGAUUUUGUUGGAAUGAUCGAGUGGGAAGUCAUCUUAUCUGUCUGAUACUGACCUGUUUGCUGUGAAUGCGUGGGUUUCUGUGAGGUGUAUGUACCUUCGUGUUCUUGUGCAUGAUUCCCCACUGAUGUGCUGAAGUUGUGUGUACCCGGUGCUGUGGCGUGGUGCUGCCAAAAAAAAUAUCUGCUGUAGUUUCUUUUGCUGUGCGUGUUAGUUAAUAGUGUGUUGGUGUGUU
rnacentral:rRNA from 1 species